UCCUGUAACGAAAGGUGGCCUCGGUGUCUGAGUCGCUUGGUCAUUAAAACUACAGGAAGAAAAAUUUGUGAGACUUUCCCGUGUUUGAAGGACUUUCUGUUCCUAUCAGACCCCAUUUGCUCACAGACA
ensembl:snoRNA SNORA71 Small nucleolar RNA SNORA71